UGUAAUUGAUGAAUAAUUGAUAUGUAGGGAAUGAUUUGAAAGAGGUAAGUAGCGAAAAACUUAGCUCCUGUAUGUGUCUAUGCUUGGAUUGGAACCCUUCAGCCACAUCGAUCUCAGUAGGCCAUUCAGAUGGAUCGAUCUCACUAACUGCAUUUCAAGAAACCAAAACAAUCACAUUACAACAAUGGAAAGCACAUGAUUAUGAAGUCUGGGCUACAACUUUCGAUCCAGACCAACCAAAUUUGGUCUAUACCGGUUCAGACGAUUGCAAAUUCAAGGGCUGGGAUUUACGAAACAGUCCUUCCUCCACAACAUUUCAAAAUUCAAAAUCCCAUCAAAUGGGUGUUUGUUGUAUUUCAAAAUCCCCCCAUAACCCCUACACUCUAUUCACUGGAAGCUAUGAUGAACAAUUAAGAAUAUGGGAUGUGAGGUCACUUACAAGGCCUGUGAUUGAGGCAUCGAUUGGUUUAGGAGGUGGAGUUUGGAGAAUUAAGAAUCAUUCUGUUGUUCCUGGAUUAAUCCUUGCAGCUUGUAUGCACAAUGGGUUUGCUAUUGUUAAAGUCAACGGGAGUCAAGAAGUCAAAGUAG
rnacentral:lncRNA from 1 species